rnacentral:rRNA from 1 species
GACGAACGCUGGCGGCGUGCCUAAUACAUGCAAGUAGAACGCACAGUUUAUACCGUAGCUUGCUACACCAUAGACUGUGAGUUGCUAACGGGUGAGUAACGCGUAGGUAACCUGCCUGGUAGCGGGGGAUAACUAUUGGAAACGAUAGCUAAUACCGCAUAAUAUUAAUUAUUGCAUGAUAAUUGAUUGAAAGGUGCAAAUGCAUCACUACCAGAUGGACCUGCGUUGUAUUAGCUAGUAGGUGAGGUAACGGCUCACCUAGGCGACGAUACAUAGCCGACCUGAGAGGGUGAUCGGCCACACUGGGACUGAGACACGGCCCAGACUCCUACGGGAGGCAGCAGUAGGGAAUCUUCGGCAAUGGACGAAAGUCUGACCGAGCAACGCCGCGUGAGUGAAGAAGGUUUUCGGAUCGUAAAGCUCUGUUGUAAGAGAAAAACGGGGGUGAGAGUGGAAAGUUUUCACUGGGGCGGGGCCUAACCAAA